AUUGAACGCUGGCGGCAGGCCUAACACAUGCAAGUCGAACGGUAGCACAGAGAGCUUGCUCUCGGGUGACGAGUGGCGGACGGGUGAGUAAUGUCUGGGAAACUGCCCGAUGGAGGGGGAUAACUACUGGAAACGGUAGCUAAUACCGCAUAACGUCUUCGGACCAAAGUGGGGGACCUUCGGGCCUCACACCACCGGAUGGGCCCAGAUGGGAUUAGCUAGUAGGUGGGGUAAUGGCUCACCUAGGCGACGAUCCCUAGCUGGUCUGAGAGGAUGACCAGCCACACUGGAACUGAGACACGGUCCAGACUCCUACGGGAGGCAGCAGUGGGGAAUAUUGCACAAUGGGCGCAAGCCUGAUGCAGCCAUGCCGCGUGUAUGAAGAAGGCCUUCGGGUUGUAAAGUACUUUCAGCGGGGAGGAAGGCGGUGAAGUUAAUAGCUUCAUCGAUUGACGUUACCCGCAGAAGAAGCACCGGCUAACUCCGUACCAGCCGCCGCAGUAA
rnacentral:rRNA from 1 species